CAUCCCAACCAGUACUAGCCAGCAAACCCUCAACAAGAACACUCAUAUCCAACCCAACUGCGAAUUCUGUGUGGUGAUCAUACCUCCCAACCAAUGCAUCCUCCACCAUGAAAUCCCACAUACACACUGUCAUGUCAUAAGAGCAAGAAACCAUCAAAUUCCUAUGGUGCGGCGAAAACUUCACUUUCCUAACCGCAUAUCCAUGCCCAUUUAACACAGCAAUUGGUGCCCUGUAGCUCCUCACAUCCCACACCCUAAUGCUCUUAUCCACCGACGCCGUCGCUAUAAGACAAUCAUCAUACUUGUUCCAAUCGCAAGACAAAAUUUCGAAAUCGUGCCCUGGAAUUAUCAUCGUUGAACCCGGUUCACGGACAUCCCAAAUUCUGACCGUACAAUCGCCGGAAGCGGAAGCAAAAACAUCGGUGUGCCUAGGGUUCCAGGCAGCGGAGUAGACGCAAUAGGCGUGUUCUUUGAAUGUGCGUAUACUAGCGGGACGGUCGAGAGUCCAGAGCUUGAUGGUGUCAUCCCAAGAGGAAGUGAUGAAGGAAUCUCGCCGAGUGGGAUUGUAGUCAACGGAGUGGACUUCGCGGGUGUGCUCUUGGAGGGAUCUGAGAGGGUUCUGCGUUGGAGGAAGAGCG
rnacentral:misc_RNA from 1 species